rnacentral:rRNA from 1 species
CUUAAAUGAAUUGACGGGGACCCGCACAAGCAGCGGAGCGUGUGGUUUAAUUCGAUGCUACACGAAGAACCUUACCAGGGUUUGACAUGCAAGUGGUAGGAAACUGAAAAGGGACGACCUUCGGGGAGCUUGCACAGGUGCUGCAUGGCUGUCGUCAGCUCGUGUCGUGAGAUGUUCGGUUAAGUCCGCUAACGAGCGCAACCCUCACUGUGUGUUAUAUGUGUCACACGGGACUGCCGGUUUUAAGCCGGAGGAAGGUGGGAUGACGUCAAGUCAGCAUGGCCUUUAUAUCCUGGGCUACACACACGCUACAAUGGUCGGUACAAUAGGUUGCCAAGCCGCGAGGCGGAGCCAAUCCAAAAAAGCCGGCCUCAGUUCAGAUUGUAGGCUGCAACUCGCCUGCAUGAAGAUGGAGUUGCUAGUAACCGCAGGUCAGCAAUACUGCGGUGAAUACGUUCCCGGGUCUU